rnacentral:rRNA from 1 species
UACGAGAGGCCCAAACGUUAUUCGGAAUUACUGGGCUUAAAGAGUUCGUAGGCGGCGCAGCAAGUAGGGUGUGAAAGCCCUCGGCUCAACCGAGGAAUUGCGCUCUAAACUACUGUGCUCGAGGGACCUAGAGGUGAGCGGAACUGAUGGCGGAGCGGUGAAAUGCGUUGAUAUCAUCAGGAACACCGGAGGCGAAGGCGGCUCACUGGGGGUCUUCUGACGCUGAGGAACGAAAGCCAGGGGAGCAAACGGG